rnacentral:rRNA from 1 species
CGCGGCCUAUCAGCUUGUUGGUGGGGUAAUGGCCUACCAAGGCGUCGACGGGUAGCCGGCCUGAGAGGGUGGACGGCCACAUUGGGACUGAGAUACGGCCCAGACUCCUACGGGAGGCAGCAGUGGGGAAUAUUGCACAAUGGGCGCAAGCCUGAUGCAGCGACGCCGCGUGGGGGAUGACGGCCUUCGGGUUGUAAACUCCUUUCGUUAGGGACGAAGCCGCACCUUUUUUGGGUGUGGUGACGGUACCUUUGUUAAGAAGCACCGGCUAACUACGUGCCAGCAGCCGCGGUAAUACGUAGGGUGCGAGCGUUGUCCGGAAUUACUGGGCGUAAAGAGCUCGUAGGUGGUUUGUUGCGUCGUCUGUGAAAUUCCGGGGCUUAACUUCGGGGUGGCAGGCCAUACGGGCAUAACUAGAGUGCUGUAGGGGAGACUGGAAUUCCUGGUGUAGCGGUGGAAUGCGCAGAUAUCAGGAGGAACACCGAUGGCGAAGGCAGGUCUCUGGGCAGUAACUGACGCUGAGGAGCGAAAGCAUGGGGAGCGAACAGGAUUAGAUACCCUGGUAGUCCAUGCUGUAAACGGUGGGCGUUAGGUGUGGGGACCGGUUUGGUUUCUGUGCCGUAGCUAACGCAUUAAGCGCCCCGCCUGGGGAGUACGG